rnacentral:lncRNA from 1 species
CACCCCCACAGCAACACACAACUGUCACACACACACUGUACAUAUACACAAGCACACCCCCACACAACACACAACUGCCACACACACACUGUACAUAUACACAAGCACACUCCCACAGCAACAUGUACUUACAAACACAAAGAAAUGGAGGCUUGGAGGGCCUCGACUGAGGAAAGGAGCGUGAAAGGGAAAUGUAUUGAAGAAGUGGGUGGAGCAGUGGUUCUUACCAUUCAGGGAACCUUGGCAUUAUGGGUAACUCACUAGAACACCCAUACUGUCCCCUGUGUGCUCACCCUCAGGGUGAGGUGCUGGGAUUGCCAUUCUUAACAGUUUCUUUGGGUGGCUGUUGGGAUUGGGGACCUUUGGAGUUUUACUAUUUCUGUUUUGACCCCAUAUCUGUAAUUUGGUAGUCGGGGAUCACAAUUUUACAAAACAUUUGUACUCUAGGCUCAAUCACACACAAAACAGAGAUAAUGGUAAUUUAAUGGGUGUAAGGCUGAGCUGAUGUUCACAAACAUAUCUAGUGUAACAUUAAUUUAUCUAAGCACUCAGUUUCCUUCUUUUUUAUUUUUUCUUGGCAAGAACAAGCAUUCUUUAUUGCCUCCAUGGUCCCUUGUUAAAUUUACAUAACUUAGGUAAAACUGUUAUUUCAUUUUUUGUAUUAGAUAUUUUCUUUAUUUACAUUUC